rnacentral:rRNA from 1 species
GGUGAACGCUGGCGGUGGGCCUAACACAUGCAAGUCGAGCGGCCGCACGGUAAGAGCUUGCUCUUACGGGUGGCGAGUGGCGGACGGGUGAGACAUACAUCGGCUUCUACUUUUUCUUGGGGGAUAACGUAGGGAAACUUACGCUACUACCUCAUACGACCUACGGGUUGAAGCAGGGGAUCUUCGGACCUUUCGCGAUACAUUGAGCCGAGGUCGGAUUAGCUAGUUGGCUGGGUAAAGGCCCACCAAGGCGACGAUGCGUAGCUGGUCUGAGAGGAUGAUCAGCCACACUGGAACUGAGACACGGUCCAGACUCCUACGGGAGGCAGCAGUAGGGAAUAUUGGACAAUGGGCGCAAGCCUGACCCAGCCACGCCGCGUGAGUGAUGAAGGCCUUCGGGUCGUAAAGCUCUGUUAUUGGGGAAGAACAGCUGCGUAUGUAACUACGCACGUUUUGACGGUACCCAAAGAGAAAGCAACGGCUAACUUCGUG